AGCGUUGUCCGGAAUUAUUGGGCGUAAAGAGCUCGUAGGCGGCUCGGUAAGUCAGGUGUCAAAUCCUCAGGCUCAACCUGGGGCUCCACCUGAUACUGCUGUGGCUAGAGUCCGGUAGGGGAGCGUGGAAUUCCUGGUGUAGCGGUGAAAUGCGCAGAUAUCAGGAGGAACACCAGCGGCGAAGGCGGCGCUCUGGGCCGGAACUGACGCUGAGGAGCGAAAGCGUGGGUAGCAAACAGG
rnacentral:rRNA from 1 species